GGCGUGAUGGCCGAGUGGUCUAAGGCGCUGUCUUCAGGAGUCAGAAAUGGCGAGGGUUCGAAUCCCUCUCACGUCA
rnacentral:tRNA from 3 species